rnacentral:rRNA from 1 species
UACGUAGGGUGCAAGCGUUGUCCGGAAUUAUUGGGCGUAAAGAGCUCGUAGGCGGUCUGUCGCGUCGGCUGUGAAAACUCGGGGCUCAACUCCGAGCUUGCGGUCGAUACGGGCAGACUAGAGUGCUGUAGGGGAGACUGGAAUUCCUGGUGUAGCGGUGAAAUGCGCAGAUAUCAGGAGGAACACCGGUGGCGAAGGCGGGUCUCUGGGCAGUAACUGACGCUGAGGAGCGAAAGCGUGGGGAGCGAACAGG